UGUAUAAUGGGUCAGCGACUUAUAUUCUGUAGCAAGGUUAACCGAAUAGGGGAGCCGAAGGGAAACCGAGUCUUAACUGGGCGUUAAGUUGCAGGGUAUAGACCCGAAACCCGGUGAUCUAGCCAUGGGCAGGUUGAAGGUUGGGUAACACUAACUGGAGGACCGAACCGACUAAUGUUGAAAAAUUAGCGGAUGACUUGUGGCUGGGGGUGAAAGGCCAAUCAAACCGGGAGAUAGCUGGUUCUCCCCGAAAGCUAUUUAGGUAGCGCCUCGUGAAUUCAUCUCCGGGGGUAGAGCACUGUUUCGGCAAGGGGGUCAUCCCGACUUACCAACCCGAUGCAAACUGCGAAUACCGGAGAAUGUUAUCACGGGAGACACACGGCGGGUGCUAACGUCCGUCGUGAAGAGGGAAACAACCCAGACCGCCAGCUAAGGUCCCAAAGUCAUGGUUAAGUGGGAAACGAUGUGGGAAGGCCCAGACAGCCAGGAUGUUGGCUUAGAAGCAGCCAUCAUUUAAAGAAAGCGUAAUAGCUCACUGGUCGAGUCGGCCUGCGCGGAAGAUGUAACGGGGCUAAACCAUGCACCGAAGCUGCGGCAGCGACGCUUAUGCGUUGUUGGGUAGGGGAGCGUUCUGUAAGCCUGUGAAGGUGUGCUGUGAGGCAUGCUGGAGGUAUCAGAAGUGCGAAUGCUGACAUAAGUAACGAUAAAGCGGGUGAAAAGCCCGCUCGCCGGAAGACCAAGGGUUCCUGUCCAACGUUAAUCGGGGCAGGGUGAGUCGACCCCUAAGGCGAGGCCGAAAGGCGUAGUCGAUGGGAAACAGGUUAAUAUUCCUGUACUUGGUGUUACUGCGAAGGGGGGACGGAGAAGGCUAUGUUGGCCGGGCGACGGUUGUCCCGGUUUAAGCGUGUAGGCUGGUUUUCCAGGCAAAUCCGGAAAACCAAGGCUGAGGCGUGAUGACGAGGCACUACGGUGCUGAAGCGACAAAUGCCCUGCUUCCAGGAAAAGCCUCUAAGCAUCAGGUAACAUCAAAUCGUACCCCAAACCGACACAGGUGGUCAGGUAGAGAAUACCAAGGCGCUUGAGAGAACUCGGGUGAAGGAACUAGGCAAAAUGGUGCCGUAACUUCGGGAGAAGGCACGC
rnacentral:rRNA from 1 species